GGGUUCGUAACUCAGGGGGAGAGUGCUACCUUGACAGGGUAGAAGUCGCGCGUUCGAUCCGCGCCGAACCCACCA
rnacentral:tRNA from 2 species